rnacentral:rRNA from 1 species
UACAGAGACUGCAAGCGUUAAUCGGAAUUACUGGGCGUAAAGCGUGCGUAGACGGCUAUCUAAGUCGGGUGUGAAAGCCCCGGGCUCAACCUGGGAAUUGCAUUCGAGACUGAAUAGCUAGGGUACGGUAGAGGGAAGCGGAAUUUCCGGUGUAGCGGUGAAAUGCGUAGAUAUCGGAAGGAACAUCAGUGGCGAAAGCGGCUUCCUGGACCAGUACCGACGUUCAGGCACGAAAGCGUGGGGAGCAAACAGG